rnacentral:rRNA from 1 species
CAGUCGCCACGGGAAUACCGAGGAUGCAAGCGUUAUCCGGAAUGAUUGGGCGUAAAGCGUCUGUAGGUGGCUUUUCAAGUCCGCCGUCAAAUCCCAGGGCUUACCCUUGAAAAUGCGGUGGAAACUAGCAGGCUAGAGUACGGUGGGGGCAGAGGGAAUUCCCGAUGUAGCGGUGAAAUGCAUAGAUAUCGGGAAGAACACCGAUGGCGAAGGCACUCUGCUGGGCCGACACUGACACUGAGAGACGAAAUCUAGGGGAGCAAAUGGGAUUAGAUACCCCCGUAGUCCCUGUCUCUUAUAC